rnacentral:rRNA from 1 species
ACUCCUACGGGAGGCAGCAGUGGGGAAUCUUGGACAAUGGGCGCAAGCCUGAUCCAGCCAUGCCGCGUGAGUGAUGAAGGCCCUAGGGUCGUAAAGCUCUUUCGCCAGGGAUGAUAAUGACAGUACCAGGUAAAGAAACCCCGGCUAACUCCGUGCCAGCAGCCGCGGUAAUACGGAGGGGGUUAGCGUUGUUCGGAAUUACUGGGCGUAAAGCGCGCGUAGGCGGACUGGAAAGUUGGGGGUGAAAUCCCGGGGCUCAACCCCGGAACUGCCUCCAAAACUCCCAGUCUUGAGUUCGAGAGAGGUGAGUGGAAUUCCGAGUGUAGAGGUGAAAUUCGUAGAUAUUCGGAGGAACACCAGUGGCGAAGGCGGCUCACUGGCUCGAUACUGACGCUGAGGUGCGAAAGUGUGGGGAGCAAACAGGAUUAGAUACCCUGGUAGGAUAGCG